GAAGAAACCUUAUUCCUUACAAGCCAGUUGGGUAGCUUUGGCUUCAGGUCUUAAGAGCACAUGAAACAUUCCCCCUGAGGUACUUUAAUUGGGUCUACAGAGGAAAUACAUUUUUGUUUCUGUGAAAUGUCCCAGUGACCCAGCCAUGCCAGAGAUAACAGCAGUUCUUUGGCAGCUGCAUGUUUUGCUUUUAUGGAUCCAGUUAGGUUGCCCUUUGAUUUGUUUGAUUAUCUGAGAGUGUUUUGGGGAAAACAUCUUGUUUUUAGAAGUGCUCUGAUAUCUCUGGAUCAGUCAGACCAUGUGCUGGUCGGUAAAUGGCCAAACAUAUUGUCUGGGAAGAGAGUCAUUGCACCUGAGCGGAGCUCUGGGACUGCCAGUGCCCAGAGAAGAAGAAAGUCUGAGAGGUUUGGAGAAGGCAGCUUGUGGAUCUCUUCUUCCUCCUUCCUGGGGCUCAGCCCUACUCACCUGCUGCUAUGAUUUGGCUCUGAUCUUAAAUAAAAGCCACACAAUUGGUGAAAAGUCUAUCAAUCAGUGCUCUUGUCAUGUCACUAUUUCAAAAGGUCUGCCUUUUAAGAAGCACCAUCCAGGAACACUGCUCAGCCUUCAGGGAGCUGCUCAGCUAGACCAUGGUUGCCUGUGA